rnacentral:sRNA from 1 species
GCCUCCUGCGGGACUACUACGUGGACGUGGUGGCGGUGAUUGACCAUCAAGUCUACUCCAAGUUUCUUACGCUCGCGAACGACCACAACCCCACGGCGCUGCAGAAUAUUCAAGAGCACUACGCCUUUGUGUUUAGUGGGAUUGACAUGCUCUACCAAGGCAUCAAAAGUUCAGACUUCACGAUUCAUAUUCGUCUGUGUAAAAUUUAUGUACUUCAGACAUUCACCGCUUCAAGCUUUAUUGACUCGUAUGCCUCUUACGGCGAUCUGAAUGGAGAAACUGCGCUAAGGAUUCUCAAAACGUUUUCCACGGGUGCUGGGCGUGGCAUCGUCGGCAUUUAUGAUCACGUGAUGCUGUUCACUGGGUAAGUACUUUCCUGCUAUUUUUAGGGGCUGAGGGGCGUGGUUAAAAUGGAUUCAUAU